CCCAUUUUCUCAUAUGGUAAAGAAUCUGCCUGCAAGGCAGGAGACCUGGGUUCGAUCCCUGAGUUGGGA
rnacentral:tRNA from 1 species